rnacentral:rRNA from 1 species
AUUGAACGCUGGCGGCAGGCCUAACACAUGCAAGUCGAACGAGUGGCGGACGGGUGUGUUAUGUAUGGGACUCUGCCUGAUGGAGGGGGAUAACUACUGGACACGGUAUCUAAUACCGCAUUCCUUCGGAUGGGCCCAGAUGGGAUUAGCUUGUAGUUGGGGUAAAGGCUCACCUAGGCGACGAUCCCGAGCUGGUCUGAGAGGAUGACCAGCCACACUGGAACUGAGACACGGUCCAGACUCCUACGGGAGGCAGCAGUGGGGAAUAUUGCACAAUGGGCGCAAGCCUGAUGCAGCCAUGCCGCGUGUAUGAAGAAGGCCUUCGGGUUGUAAAGUACUUUCAGCUGGGAGGCGUUACCCGCAGAAGAAGCACCGGCUAACUCCGUGCCAGCAGCCGCGGUAAUUC